rfam:Camelus ferus unplaced genomic scaffold scaffold726, whole genome shotgun sequence.
GAGGGUAUAGCUCAAGUGGUAGAGCACAUGCUUAGCAUGCAUGAAGUCCUGGGUUCAAUCCCCACUACUUCCU